rnacentral:rRNA from 1 species
UACGUAGGUCCCGAACGUUGCGCGAAUUUACUGGGCGUAAAGGGCCCGUAGGCGGCUUAGCAAGUGGGUGGUGAAAUUUCACGGCUCAACCGUGAGACUGCCUUCCAAACUGCUAAACUUGAGGCAGGGAGAGGAGGGCGGAAUUCCCGGUGUAGCGGUGAAAUGCGUAGAUAUCGGGAAGAACACCAGUGGCGAAGGCGGCCGACUGGAACUGUACUGACGCUGAGGGACGAAAGCUAGGGGAGCAAACCGG